rnacentral:misc_RNA from 1 species
CCAUUACUUACUUUUUAAAAUUUUUAAUAUAUUUUUUGAAAUCUUUUUAUCAUUAAUUACUAGCAAAUCUGCAAUACAUGAGAAGAUUCAGAACCUCCAUCUUGUUCACGUAAUUGGCAAAAUAGGUUUUGGGCCAUGCCUGUGCAUGUUGGAGCCUUGGAGGACAUGGUUUGGGCUUGUACCAAAAUUUACCCAAUGAAGAGGUCUAACUAACACUAU